rnacentral:rRNA from 1 species
AUCGAACGCUGGCGGCAUGCCUUACACAUGCAAGUCGAACGGCAGCACGGGAGCAAUCCUGGUGGCGAGUGGCGAACGGGUGAGUAAAGUAUCGGAACGUGCCCAGUCGUGGGGGAUAACGUAGCGAAAGUUACGCUAAUACCGCAUACGAUCUAGGGAUGAAAGCGGGGGAUCGCAAGACCUCGCGCGAUUGGAGCGGCCGAUAGCAGAUUAGGUAGUUGGUGGGGUAAAGGCUCACCAAGCCGACGAUCUGUAGCUGGUCUGAGAGGACGACCAGCCACACUGGGACUGAGACACGGCCCAGACUCCUACGGGAGGCAGCAGUGGGGAAUUUUGGACAAUGGGCGAAAGCCUGAUCCAGCCAUGCCGCGUGCAGGAUGAAGGCCUUCGGGUUGUAAACUGCUUUUGUACGGAACGAAAAGGUUUGGCCUAAUAAGCUGAGCUCAUGACGGUACCGUAAGAAUAAGCACCGGCUAACUACGUGCCAGCAGCCGCAGUAA